GUGGGUGUCUCUGAGCCAGGCUGGCGCUCGUGCGCGCUGGGCUCCGCGCUCAGUCGCUGGGGUGGGAGGCCAGGGGAAGCCGCCGCUGCAGGCCGAGCCGCGAGAUUUGCAGUGCAGGAGCCGAAGCGGCGGGCAUGGUGGGAGGUCCUUGGAAGCUGCUGCGGGGAACUGAAACGGCUCUGAUAGGCAGGCACAAAGACUUCUCUAGGACCCCCUACAAUGCUUUACGUUUGCCUCGUGCUUUAGAUUUCACAAAGUGCUUACACAUAACACGACCCUCCUCACUCGACCUGGUGAGAUGGGUAGCAUUUUGUGGAAGAUUCCGAGACUCAAGUUUGAGAGACUCACCCAAGGUCAGAGUUGGCGAGUGGGCGGUCCGUGGACAGGUGCGCAGGUCUCAGCGCCAUUUGGCCCGCGCUGCUGCUUCCUGUGUGUACUGGAUGUUCUCUAGGCUCGCCCAGCGUGGAAGCCCCGAGUUACCAGCCGCAACGUGGAAACCACAGAAGGGGAAAUAGAUGACUUUUGGUUUAUCUUUUAAAAACCGUAUACCUGUUUUACAAGGAUCUCACAAAGAUUAACAAUAUGUAUGCUAUGAAGGAUCCCAUCUGCCUCAGAGAAGAUACGCUUUUCAUCACAGACUGUAUACUUUUUACAGUUCUUAUCUAUUUAUUCUACUGCAAAAACUGCCGAUUCUACAGAGCCUAUUAAUUCCACUGGGAAAACAUGUACGGAAUGUGCUCAUGAGUAUGGGACUUCCUGUAAUUGUUGGAAAGAAGAAAAAGGCUGAUAGAAAAAACAUUUUGGCCUGGCACUCAGGAGAAAACUUCUGCUGAGGAAUGAACAGGGAAAAACAAUGAUGGACCACCUCAAGGAACAAAUCGGAUAGCUUCGACUUCCCCUCUGGAAGCCCUGCUGCGCUGGGAUGCACCUAUCCCUACUUCUUAGAUGUUCCCAUAUGUUCUCAACAGCAUUCUGUCCCUCCUAAGCAGUGUCACUAAAGCUAGCUGGUCUCUUAGGAUUGUUACCUUUAUUGAUGAUUUUCCCUUUGUGCUUCCUGGUGUCUGGCACCAAGACCACACCCCUACUUCUCCAAUGGCCCUUUCCCUCAGUAAGCUUAGCUUAUUGCUCACCUCCCACCUUCUCCCUGAACCCCAGCAGAAAGACAUGGACCUGUCAGAUGCUCCCGAUAUUUAAGUGUCUAUGCCAAAAUCUCAUGUGGACCUUGUUUGUUCAAAUGAGUUACUAUUGAGAGAGACAGCAAAGUCAUCUUCUUUAGGGAACCUGAAAAUUGUCUUCAGUCUGAAAAUUGUCUUCAGAAGGAGCAAAAGAUAGGUGAGAGGGAGAGGAUAAGAGGAGAGCCAUGUAUUCUCCUGACCAUGAGCUCGCGGUAGAUAAACCCCUGGUUACCUGAAGGCAGCACCGUGAGCACCAUCCGCUGUGACUCAUCGGAUGCUUGAUUAAUCCACUUGCUUGGGUGUCCAUGGAGCUGCCACUCUGCCACCCUACACCAGUACAUUCCUGCAUCCUCCAUCUCCACCUGAUGAAGCUUCAGGACAAAGUCUGUAGAGGAUGAACGGUAACAGUGCAGGUGCCUCCUGAGCCCCUCUUCCCCAUACUCCAGCAAGCCAUCAUGUUGCAAGUGCACCAGCAAUUUACUUCCAGAGUUUUCUCUGUUCCAGUACCACAUCACAGAGUACAGAGUGGCUGAGCUGCCUACACUCUCCAGGCUGCAGCGGAUGGCCACUUCUCUGUGCUCAGUCACAUUUUCGGUCCAGUACACUUUGGAGACACGUACCUUACUUCCUAGAAAAUAAAAUGGCAGUAAAUUAGAGAAUGCAGACUUUCAGAUUUGGAUACCACCUCUGAAAAAUCUAGUUCUCACUGGGAAGAUCUUAUAUUCUUUAGACAUCAGUGCAUUCAUUUUAUUUUUUUUAUUAUUUUUAUUUUUUGAGACAGAGUCUUGCUCUGUCACCCAGGCCAGAGUGCAGUGGCAUGAUCUCAGCUCACUGCAACCACUGCCUCCUGGGUUCAAGCAAUUCUCCUGCCUCAGCCUCCCAAGUGGCUGGGAUUACAGGCGUGUGCCACCAUGCCCAGCUGAUUUUUGUAUUUUUAGUAGAGACGGGGUUUCACCAUGUUGGCCAGAUUGCUCUUGAGCUCCUGGCUUCAAGUGAUCUGCCCACCUCAGCCUCCCAAAGUGUUGGGAUUACAGGCAUGAGCCACCACGUCCAGCCACAUUCAUUUUAAUUCUUGUCCUUGGUCCCUGUUUUUCUCUCACAUUUGCCAGGACAUUCUCUGCUAGGAAUCAAACCAGCCUCUUUCCUUCUUUAGCCCAACUGCUUGCCUGCUGGACCCUGCCAUUGAAAACUACACAGCUUCUGCAGGGCCCUCUGCCUGCUGCUUUUACUUACCCUUGAUUCACUCCUCCUCUACUUCCCAAAGUGGUCAUUCACAACUUUUAGCAGCUCCCUCAAGCCAUGUAUUCCACCAGUACCCCUCAUUCUUAGCAAAUUACUCUCCUCCCAUACACCCAGAUAUUAUCUUGGGUGUAAACGCAGAGAGAGAGGACGCCAUCCAAGAGACUGAACAUUUUGAUGCAAGUGUUAGAAGGCCAUCCAUGGGAGCUAUUUAGAUGAUUGGAUUAGACUGAGUUUUAAAGAGAUUUUGACAUUUACUUUUUUUCCCCUUGCUAACCAGCAGGUGAGGAUUUAGAAUAACAGCCAAAGUAGUUACAAACAAAAUAAAGAAAUUAUAGUGUGCAUUACAUUUUCAAUUCCACUACAAACACAUUUAUUUAUUUAUUUAUUUAUUUAUUUAUUUUUAUUUUAUUUAUUUUUUGAGACGGAGUCUCGCUCUGUCGCCCAGGCUAGAGUGCAGUGGCACAAUCUUGGCUCACCGCAACCUCUGCCUCCCGGGUUCAAGCGAUUAUCCUGCCUCAGCCUCCCGAGCAGUUGGGAUUACAGGCAUGGGCCACCAUGCCUGGCUAACUUUUUUAUUUUUAGUAGAGACAGGGUUUCACCAUGUUGGCCAGGCUGGUCUCGAACUCCUGACCUCAGGUGAUCCGCCCACCUUGGCCUCCCAAAGUGCUGGGAUUAUAGGCAUGAGCCACUGUGCCUGACUCAAACACAUUUAUUAAUCUGUCUUUAAGAGAAUAAUUCUGUCUGAUCUUGGACUCUUUCUUAGUUACCAUUUUUACUCUCCCCUUUCCUUCAUGGAGUAGCACGUGGAAUAUUAGCACAUGGAAUACUGUUGCUGUUUCCUUGUCUCAAAUUACUUCCUACUUUAUUGUGAUCUGGCUUCCAAUCCCAUCACUUUACUUGGCCAGGGCCCAAUUUCCCAGUUCAAGGGACCCUCUAGUCCUUUUCUGUCCUCUAUGUGGUUUUUGUUACUGGAGUCCAAUUUCUCCUUGAAAUUGACUUCUUUUCUUCCAACCUCAGAGAAAAUAUCCCCCUUACAACUCUGACCAGUCAUUCUCAGCAUCUUUCUGGGGCCUCUUGGUUAACUUGUUCCCUAAAUGACGUGCACAACCGGAAGUCCACAGCCACACCAAGCCCACAGGUAUGUUCUGCUUGACACUUGCAGUAUUUUAAGAGAACUGGGCUGGGCGCAGUGGCUCACGCCUGUAAUCCCAGCACUUUGGGAGGCCAAGGCAGGUGGAUCACCUGAGGUCAGGAGUUCAAGACCAGCCUGAGCAACAUGGUAAAACCCUGUCUCUACUAAAAUUACAAAAAUUAGCCAGGCAUGGUGGCACACACCUGUAGUCCCAGCUACUCUGGAGGCUGAGGCAGGAGAAUUGCUUGAACCCAGGAGGAGGAGGUUGCAG
rnacentral:lncRNA from 10 species